rnacentral:rRNA from 1 species
AUUGAACGCUGGCGGCAUGCCUUACACAUGCAAGUCGAACGGCAGCACGGGGGCAACCCUGGUGGCGAGUGGCGAACGGGUGAGUAAUGCAUCGGAACGUGCCCAGUAGUGGGGGAUAACUAGUCGAAAGAUUAGCUAAUACCGCAUACGACCUAUGGGUGAAAGCGGGGGAUUCGCAAGAACCUCGCGCUAUCGGAGCGGCCGAUGUCUGAUUAGCUAGUUGGCGGGGUAAAGGCCCACCAAGGCUUCGAUCAGUAGCUGGUCUGAGAGGACGACCAGCCACACUGGGACUGAGACACGGCCCAGACUCCUACGGGAGGCAGCAGUGGGGAAUUUUGGACAAUGGGCGCAAGCCUGAUCCAGCCAUGCCGCGUGC